rnacentral:lncRNA from 1 species
UACCUGAACGGUGUGAUUGCCCACAUGUAUCCAAAAAAAUAAGAAAAAAAAAGAAAAAAAAAAUCUCAACAACAUCGAGCUCUAAGCUGGUUUGUUAAAUGCAUCGAGCUCCUUUCAGGCUCUGAGACAACCUUUGCCUCUCUAUCUCACUACGAUCACAGCCUUAGCCUACAAAACUAACAUAUCGCUACCAGAGCGAAAUCCAACCAAAUCCCUCAUGAAUCCUCUCAUGAGGGCUUAGAGCUCCUCAUGAGAAUAAAAUUCAGAUGGUCAGCAUGUGAAUAAAAUUGAAAUAUAAUACUGACUCCUCAUGAGGGCUUAUGUGAAAUAUAAUACUAACUCCUAAGAUGGUAGGGGUGGUGCGGACUUUGUCGAUGAAUUUUGAUGGUAGGGUCAGAGAUGAUAGGGUUGAUGCAGGCUUUAUCAUCCAAGUUUUGGAUGCCAGAUUGUUAGUAGUGAAGAGUUCUUAUCUUUUUGAGCUUUCCAUCUCAGGAGUUGAGCUUCAUGCCAUCUGAACAGGCAUUAUUUAUAUCAGACAGAAAUUGCUAGCGAAGAGGAUUUUCAUUGAGAAAGAUUUUACCAUCAUUAUUGGGUAGAUCUAAAACAACACGAAGCAGCUAAAGACUCAUUCACUUCUCUGUGAUAUCUGAAUUGUUCUUCAUCUUUCAGUUACGGUGUCAGACUUGCCCAUCGAUUCUGUAGAAUCUUUUGUACUCUGAUUUUAUGAACUACUCUCGUACCUGAACGGUGUGAUUGCCCACAUGUAUCCAAAAAAAUAGAAAAAAAAAGAGAAAAAAAAAUCUCAACAACAUCGAGCUCUAAGCUGGUUUGUUAAAUGCAUCGAGGAGAGGAUUCAUGAGGGAUUUGGUUGGAUUUCGCUCUGGUAGCGAUAUGUUAGUUUUGUAGGCUAAGGCUGUGAUCGUAGUGAGAUAGAGAGGCAAAGGUUGUCUCAGAGCCUGAAAGGAGCUCGGAAAAGAGGCAGCUUGGCCAGGGAUUAGUUUAUUAUGAUAGAUCGAGUUUCUUGAACAUAUUCAAAACCAAAAGUUUGAGUUUCCAUUUAGUGACCAUAAAAUCAUUCUAAGGUCAACAUGUGAGUGAGAACUAAAUUUCGUGAGUGGAACCCUCAUUGCUUCUUAAAUAUAUCAAGCAUCUCUAUGUCUCAAUAUUAUGAUCACAUACUUAUUCCAAAGUCAUUAUGCGGAA